rnacentral:lncRNA from 1 species
UUGCGGUUGAAGUAGGGGACGAAGUCCGGCUCCCGUAGGAGUCCGGACGGAGUCUACCUGCAAUCAAAAUCGGGGGUGAAGUCCAGCUCUCGUAGGAGUCCAGACGGAGUCUACCCGCAAUCAAAGUCGGGGGCGAAGUCUGGCCCUCGUAGGAGUCUGGACGAAGUCUUCUUGUGGUUGAAGUCGGGGAUGAAGUCCGGCUCCCGUAGGAGUCCGGGCGAAGUCCACCUGCAAUCAAAGUCGGGGGCGAAGUCUAGCUCCCAUAGGAGUCCGGAUGAAGUCUUCUUGCGGUUGAAGUUGGGG